rnacentral:rRNA from 1 species
GACGAACGCUGGCGGCGUGCUUAACACAUGCAAGUCGAACGGAAAGGCCCUGCUUUUGUGGGGUGCUCGAGUGGCGAACGGGUGAGUAACACGUGAGUAACCUGCCCUUGACUUUGGGAUAACUUCAGGAAACUGGGGCUAAUACCGGAUAGGAGCUCCUGCUGCAUGGUGGGGGUUGGAACGUUUCGGCGGGUGGGGAUGGACUCGCGGCUUAUCAGCUUGUUGGUGGGGUAGUGGCUUACCAAGGCUUUGACGGAUAGCCGGCCUGAGAGGGUGACCAGCCACAUUGGGACUGAGGUACGGCCCAGACUCCUACGGGAGGCAGCAGUGGGGAAUAUUGCACAAUGGGCGGAAGCCUGAUGCAGCAACGCCGCGGGCGGGAUGACGGCCUUCGGGUUGUAAACCGCUUUCGCCUGUGACGAAGCGUGAGUGACGGUAAUGGGUAAAGAAGCACCGGCUAACUACGUG